rnacentral:siRNA from 1 species
GCAGAUUCAGAUUGUCAAAUCAAC